CGGCUCCCGCUAUCGGAUGAGCCUAUGUCGGAUUAGCUAGUUGGUGAGGUAAAGGCUCACCAAGGCGACGAUCCGUAGCUGGUCUGAGAGGAUGAUCAGCCACAUCGGGACUGAGACACGGCCCGAACUCCUACGGGAGGCAGCAGUGGGGAAUAUUGGACAAUGGGGGGAACCCUGAUCCAGCCAUGCCGCGUGUGUGAAGAAGGCCCUCGGGUUGUAAAGCACUUUCAGUGAGGAAGAACGCCUGGUGGUUAAUACCCAUCAGGAAAGACAUCACUCACAGAAGAAGCACCGGCUAACUCCGUGCCAGCAGCCGCGGUAAUACGGAGGGUGCGAGCGUUAAUCGGAAUUACUGGGCGUAAAGCGCGCGUAGGUGGCUUGAUAAGCCGGUUGUGAAAGCCCCGGGCUCAACCUGGGAACGGCAUCCGGAACUGUCAAGCUAGAGUGCAGGAGAGGAAGGUAGAAUUCCCGGUGUAGCGGUGAAAUGCGUAGAGAUCGGNGAGGAAUACCAGNUGGCGAAGGCGGCCUUCUGGACUGACACUGACACUGAGGUGCGAAAGCGUGGGUAGCAAACAGGAUUAGAUACCCUGGUAGUCCACGCCGUAAACGAUGUCGACCAGCCGUUGGGUGCCUAGCGCACUUUGUGGCGAAGUUAACGCGAUAAGUCGACCGCCUGGGGAGUACGGCCGNCAAGGUUAAAACUCAAAUGAAUUGACGGGGGCCCGCACAAGCGGUGGAGCAUGUGGUUUAAUUCGAUGCAACGCGAAGAACCUUACCUACUCUUGACAUCCUGCGAAUUCGGUAGAGAUACCUUAGUGCCUUCGGGAACGCAGAGACAGGUGCUGCAUGGCUGUCGUCAGCUCGUGUUGUGAAAUGUUGGGUUAAGUCCCGUAACGAGCGCAACCCUUGUCCUUAUUUGCCAGCGCGUAAUGGCGGGAACUCUAAGGAGACUGCCGGUGACAAACCGGAGGAAGGUGGGGACGACGUCAAGUCAUCAUGGCCCUUACGAGUAGGGCUACACACGUGCUACAAUGGUCGGUACAAAGGGUUGCCAACUCGCGAGAGUGAGCCAAUCCCGAAAAGCCGAUCUCAGUCCGGAUCGGAGUCUGCAACUCGACUCCGUGAAGUCGGAAUCGCUAGUAAUCGUGGAUCAGAAUGCCACGGUGAAUACGUUCCCGGGCCUUGUACACACCGCCCGUCACACCAUGGGAGUGGACUGCACCAGAAGUGGUUAGCCUAACGCAAGAGGGCGAUC
rnacentral:rRNA from 1 species